rnacentral:pre_miRNA from 1 species
GUUAAUGGGGUUGUUGUCUGGUUCAAGGUCGCCACAGCAGACAAAGCCCAUUUUGCUUAGCAUGCAGCAUGGGUUUAUCUCUAUUGAUGAUCGAUCUCGGACCAGGCUUCAAUCCCUUUAAC